rnacentral:lncRNA from 1 species
GCGCCAAGAGCACUGGUGUAGGGUUUAUAGCAACAAUAAGAAGAUGAGUUCGACGAGUUGCAAGGGUGUUCCGCCUACAGCCACAUUCGGGAACAGUUCUAACCUAGAUGUACGCCAGGCUGAUAUCGAGCCCGUGCCUUGUAUGAGAUCUUUCAUAAGUUUUCCUUAUUUGUUUGUUCCUCCUUCUUGACUGUGCUAGAACUCGAGGCCCAUGAGCCUCCUGGCUCGUCUGGGCCUUACGAGCUCUCUAGCUUGUAAUAUAAAAAGUAAAUACAUUCAAGCUAGCUAAACGCAUCCCUGUGAAGCCCUAGGUGCAGGGUCACAGCGGACGGUUUCCCUCUUGGAAAAUCGGGGGAAAGGGCUGCUCCAGAACCCAGCCUUACCCCGCCCCUUGGUGCCUUUUUGGUGUCUUUGUUUAGAGCACAGUUUUGUAAGCCUGAACACACCAGAAGUUUCCCGGAAGGACGAAGCGGGCUGCUGCUCGGAUGUGACGUGCUGAAAUUGGACAUCUAAACUGCAAAGCUCUGCAAACCGCCAUCAGCUCCUGAGCGAACCCCGUCACAGCUGGUGGAAUCCAUGCCAAUCGUCCCGAUUUACCGCAACAUUGC